AGAGUUUGAUCCUGGCUCAGGAUGAACGCUGGCGGCGUGCCUAAUACAUGCAAGUCGAGCGAACGGACGAGAAGCUUGCUUCUCUGAUGUUAGCGGCGGACGGGUGAGUAACACGUGGAUAACCUACCUAUAAGACUGGGAUAACUUCGGGAAACCGGAGCUAAUACCGGAUAAUAUUUUGAACCGCAUGGUUCAAAAGUGAAAGACGGUCUUGCUGUCACUUAUAGAUGGAUCCGCGCUGCAUUAGCUAGUUGGUAAGGUAGCGGCUUACCAAGGCAACGAUGCAUAGCCGACCUGAGAGGGUGAUCGGCCACACUGGAACUGAGACACGGUCCAGACUCCUACGGGAGGCAGCAGUAGGGAAUCUUCCGCAAUGGGCGAAAGCCUGACGGAGCAACGCCGCGUGAGUGAUGAAGGUCUUCGGAUCGUAAAACUCUGUUAUUAGGGAAGAACAUAUGUGUAAGUAACUGUGCACAUCUUGACGGUACCUAAUCAGAAAGCCACGGCUAACUACGUGCCAGCAGCCGCGGUAAUACGUAGGUGGCAAGCGUUAUCCGGAAUUAUUGGGCGUAAAGCGCGCGUAGGCGGUUUUUUAAGUCUGAUGUGAAAGCCCACGGCUCAACCGUGGAGGGUCAUUGGAAACUGGAAAACUUGAGUGCAGAAGAGGAAAGUGGAAUUCCAUGUGUAGCGGUGAAAUGCGCAGAGAUAUGGAGGAACACCAGUGGCGAAGGCGACUUUCUGGUCUGUAACUGACGCUGAUGUGCGAAAGCGUGGGGAUCAAACAGGAUUAGAUACCCUGGUAGUCCACGCCGUAAACGAUGAGUGCUAAGUGUUAGGGGGUUUCCGCCCCUUAGUGCUGCAGCUAACGCAUUAAGCACUCCGCCUGGGGAGUACGACCGCAAGGUUGAAACUCAAAGGAAUUGACGGGGACCCGCACAAGCGGUGGAGCAUGUGGUUUAAUUCGAAGCAACGCGAAGAACCUUACCAAAUCUUGACAUCCUUUGACAACUCUAGAGAUAGAGCCUUCCCCUUCGGGGGACAAAGUGACAGGUGGUGCAUGGUUGUCGUCAGCUCGUGUCGUGAGAUGUUGGGUUAAGUCCCGCAACGAGCGCAACCCUUAAGCUUAGUUGCCAUCAUUAAGUUGGGCACUCUAAGUUGACUGCCGGUGACAAACCGGAGGAAGGUGGGGAUGACGUCAAAUCAUCAUGCCCCUUAUGAUUUGGGCUACACACGUGCUACAAUGGACAAUACAAAGGGCAGCGAAACCGCGAGGUCAAGCAAAUCCCAUAAAGUUGUUCUCAGUUCGGAUUGUAGUCUGCAACUCGACUACAUGAAGCUGGAAUCGCUAGUAAUCGUAGAUCAGCAUGCUACGGUGAAUACGUUCCCGGGUCUUGUACACACCGCCCGUCACACCACGAGAGUUUGUAACACCCGAAGCCGGUGGAGUAACCUUUUAGGAGCUAGCCGUCGAAGGUGGGACAAAUGAUUGGGGUGAAGUCGUAACAAGGUAGCCGUAUCGGAAGGUGCGGCUGGAUCACCU
rnacentral:rRNA from 1 species